AGCAAGCAGUUCUUCUGAUCAAGCAAAUAGGAGUGCAGGAAUACUUUUUGUAGAGUGAGAAGCAAAAAUGUAUUACUCCCAAAAAUAAUGAUGUGCAUAGUUCUUUUCUGUUUUCAAGGUGGAAAAGGAUGGAUGAACUCUGAAUUCAUACUCAUUACAGUGAUACAGAAUGAUACUACUGCGUUGUUCAGAGAGCA